UGUUCUAAUUCCUGUGGUGACAGUUGCCAAAACGGCCCAGAGUUACGAUUUUACUUUUAAAAUAUGUUAAAACCAAAACAGAAACACUAAACAAACAUCUCGUUACAAAGGUUCUACAAGGGGGAAAAUAAGCCUUCUCUAUCUGUCUCACACAUGCAAAAGGCUGCUGCAUAGGAGCAAAACAGUAUCUCAGACCCAAACAGUACAGAGGAAGCUGACUUAUACAGUCAGGCCACUGGUCCAUCUACCGGUAGGUCAGUUUUUUCUAAACUGACUGGCAGUGGCUCUCCUUGGAGGUACUGGGGAUUGAAUGUAAGAACUUCUGCCUGCAAAACAGAUCACUGAGCUACAGCUCUUCCCUGCCCAAUAAAGCUAGGAAAUUAGCAUGCACAA